GGGGUUAUAUUUAACUAUAAUAUUUGAAUUGCAAUCAAAAGGUAUCCAACACAGGAUUAGCUUCU
rnacentral:tRNA from 1 species